UUGAAUAUUAAAAUACAUUAUAACUGUGAUUACUAAAAAAAGGUCUUAUACAAUACAGGUAUGUUAUUAUGUCAAUAAUAUUGAGUAUAAGUUUUCAAUGAGUUGGUAAAAAUGUAAGAAGCCGAAAAAAUAUUAUACGCGUCGGGCAAAUCUUCCUUAAAAGCGACGACAACAAUUAUUAUUGAAUAAUAAUUAAGUGUGAUAAUAGGUUACACGACAAAAUAAACAACAAUCGACUAUUUUUUCGUGUUUGUUUAGCCGGCUGGUAACUACCAUUCGAAUAAGAACACAUAAGACAAAACGUCACCACUUGGCUUCCGCUUCUGUGACGGUGUAGCGUUUUGCCUUUGCCGCCAUAUUUAAACUGUACUAUCUGUGCGCGGUCGGCCGCCGAGCAUUACGUCAGCGGCGAUUCACAGUGCCGCCUCACCGGAAGGAACAAAUUGUCAUACUGCGCGUGGCGCGUCGGCUUUUCUCGCUGACGACGACGUUCCGCGUUUCCGUGAAACCGCGGACAGGUUACCACGAAAUGAUUUCGAUUCAAACAACCCAUACCACGACUACUGUCCCCACCAACGUCAUAAUAAUAUCUGGUGGACGAAAACGCGGCCGGCUCGUCAUCGCCGUCCGCCGGUAACCAGUGCAGGCAACUGGACGCGCCGAUUUUGCAUACACUGCAAAAAGUGGUGAUACGAACAUUUUUUUUUAACCUUUCAUUAUUUACGUGAACUUUUUCGCUUUACGUAUAUUUUUUCUUGAAAAAAAAUGGUGUAUCUCGUUAGGCGUUAGUGAAUCGUGUUUUGAUUGUUAUUAUUAUUAUUUUUUUUUUUGUUUUCAUUUGCUUGUUCUCUAAGUAUCUGCACAUUGUCCGCCGACAGUCCUGCCGACGUUCGGGGAAUCGCGUACGUUUCAAUUUGGUUUUUCCGAAACGGAUAAUACGAUACGCCCGUCCAUUGUUUGUGCAACCGCUCCGAGGCGAGUCGUCUGUUUCGUCAACAAACGCUUAACAGUCUGAUGAAUAAUAUUUGUUUUUCACUGAACAACGCCUGAAGAAUAAAGAAAUGCCACACAAGUGAUUGGCUUUUAUCAAUGUUGUGUUCCAUUAGGUACCUACAUUCAGUUUGUUUAGUAGAGUAUAGUAUGUUUUAUCCAUUUUCUGUUUAUUGUCGGUUGUAUUGAAGAAAUAAAAUGUUACUUUUUUUAUUAAAUAAACAUAUUGUUUAGCUUACAGACUACCAUGUUUUGAAAAACAAUUUGUUUUCAGAAAAUGUAUGGUUAUUGGUCAUUGAAGGACAAUAUUGCAAUGUUAUUCUGAACAUUUAUUUCAGUUGGAUUCUUACGAAUUGGAUAAUACAUACUAUAUUUAUAGUCAGUGCAAUUAAUAAUAAUAAUAAUAAUGUUUAAAACAAUAUAUAACAUACUGAAGGGAAACAAAUGUUUCAGAGUAAAUGCCUUACUACCUAUUCAGUCAAACUUCUGUGUGCACUAAGACAGAGUACUAUAUGGCUACUUAUUAUAGGCUACUUCCUACUGGUGGAGGCAUUUAUUAAAGGUAAUUGGUAUAUUUUUCUUUUUAUUUUAUUAGUAUUCUGAAUUAUAUUUUAUUAAUCAAACAUUUGAAAUAGUUUGAACUGUAUGUUUAUUUUUUUUAUAGAAAGUCAUUUUCUAUAAUCAAACAAGUAUGCAUUCACUAUUUAGAUUCUGCUACAACUUAAAAAUUAGCCUCUGUCAGUGUAAUUAAUAUUUAAUUGGCCUAUAGUAGGUGUACCUAAUAUUAUAUUAAAUCUUACUAAUAUUAAUUACAUACAUACAUGGUUGCCUAUGAAUUUAACAAAAAUUAUUCCAAAGUGUGUGUAUCUAUUUAAAUCUGAUGGAAAAAAUCUAUUUUGAAUUGGUAUUCAUAUUAACUCUUAAAAAUGUAAAAUUUUGAAAGAGUUCUUUAUCUAAUAUAGAUUAUCUAUCUUAUUAAAAAUGUUAGAUGAAUACAAUCUGGUUACUUCUCUAACUUUAGAAGAGUAAUUCUAUGUUCCUCAAUGUAACAGAUUAUACCUAAACUGGAUGAAGAAUGUUAUUAACCUAAUUCAAAAUUGGAAAUUAUAUUAAUCUUACCGGUAAAUUCAACAUUAUAUAUAUUUUAAUGUAAUAAUGUUAUGGUAAGCUUUUGAUACUUAGAGAUAUAAGGCUAUGCUAUUAUAAUAGUAUUUAUAAAUGAUUAUAAAUUGUGUUCUAUAUUUAAUUUUAUGUGUUUAAAAUGUGGUCUUGACUGAAAUUUCAACAUAUUAUUUUUUAUUUUGGUAUUUAUAUAAUUAGUUUUAUUAUUCUUGUAUAAAAUAUUCAAUUUAAAAAUAAUAUACCUAUUUAUUUUAUAAUAAUUAUAAUUAGUUAAAUAAUAGUACAUAUUAUUUCUUUAUGUAUGUAUCAGUUGUUUUUAAAAUACCUACCUUAAGUAAAAUAUUAAUGCAAACCAAGCAAUAAUUAAUUGACAUUGGUAUGUUUUUGUUUUAGCUGAAUGUUUUAAAAAUGUAAAUAUUUGUUCUGAAUAAGUAAUUUAAUGAUUAAAAUGGGUUAUUAAAUAAUAAUUGUUUUUAUUUUUUUCUUAUUUAUAUAUUUGCAAUCUUUUAUUAUUAAAUUGAUUAAAAUAUUCAACUCUGGUAGUAAAGUACUGAGUUAUGUAAAUAUUUGUUAAAAUUCCCAAAACAUAUUAAUCUAUUAGUAGGUACUACAUUAUUACACCGUAUUAUAUUAUGGAUAAAAAGAAAUGUUCAAAUAACCAUCAUGGUUUUAAGUUGUAACUUUUAAGGUAUACCAAUAAAUAAGUAAAAUUAAUUUCA